rnacentral:rRNA from 1 species
GACGAACCGUGCAAACGUUGUUCGGAAUCACUGGGCUUAAAGGGCGCGUAGGCGGGCAGGCAAGUCGGAGGUGAAAGCCCACGGCUCAACCGUGGAAGUGCCCCCGAUACUGCCAGUCCUGAGGGAGGUAGGGGCGUGCGGAACUUCCGGUGGAGCGGUGAAAUGCGUUGAUAUCAACUGGAACUCCGGUGGCGAAGGCGGCACGCUGGACCUUUUCUGACGCUGAGGCGCGAAAGCCAGGGGAGCAAACGGG